rnacentral:rRNA from 1 species
GACGAACGCUGGCGGCGUGCCUAAUACAUGCAAGUCGAGCAGACCUCUUCGGAGGUCAGCGGCGGACGGGUGAGUAACACGUGGGCAACCUGCCUGUAAGACUGGGAUAACUCCGGGAAACCGGAGCUAAUACCGGAUACUAUGUCAAACCGCAUGGUUUGACAUUCAAAGACGGUUUCGGCUGUCACUUACAGAUGGGCCCGCGGCGCAUUAGCUAGUUGGUGAGGUAACGGCUCACCAAGGCGCCGAUGCGUAGCCGACCUGAGAGGGUGAUCGGCCACACUGGGACUGAGACACGGCCCAGACUCCGACGGGAGGCAGCAGUAGGGAAUCUUCCGCAAUGGACGAAAGUCUGACGGAGCAACGCCGCGUGAGUGAUGAAGGUUUUCGGAUCGUAAAACUCUGUUGUCAGGGAAGAACAAGUGCCGGAGUAACUGCCGGCGCCUUGACGGUACCUGACCAGAAAGCCACGGCUAACUACGUGCCAGCAGCCGCAGUAA